rnacentral:lncRNA from 1 species
UUUAUUUUGCUGUUGUUGUUAUUCUUGUUUGAUUGAGAGAGAGAGAGAGAGAGAGAGAGAGAGAGAGAGAGAGAGAGAGAGAGAGAGAGAGAAUGAUGGAAAAGAAGCUUAGAGAGAGGGAGAGUUUUAAAUUUAAUAAAAAAAGAAGUUAUAUUGUUGUUGCGGAUUACAGACACGCGAGGAAGAAGAAGAGAAACAUGUUGUUUUUCUUUGACUUUUUC